UUUUCUUCAACCAUGAUAUAUUUCAGUUGGAAACUUCUCAUCCACUGUUGCCAUGAUAUUAGUUGACUUCCAAACUUGGAAAAGAACC
rnacentral:sRNA from 1 species